CCUUGGAAAGGGGUUGUACGUUUUGGCAAACGUGGGAAAUUGAGUCCACGAUUCAUAGGCCCUUAUGAGAUUUUAGAGAGAAUUGAACCAGUUGCUUAUCGUUUAGCACUACCUCCAGAGCUAUCUCGGAUUCAUGAUGUCUUCCAUGUAUCUAUGUUAAGGAGAUACAGAAAUGACCCUUCCCACAUCCUCCAUAAACUGCCUAUCGAGUUGAGGGAAGAUUUAACAUAUAAGAAGAGCCAGUAGAGAUCAUUGCCAGAGAAGAGAAGGUUCUAAGGAGCAAGAUAAUACCCCUGGUUAAAGUUCGAUGGAGUAACCAUUCUGCUAAAGAAGCUACCUGGGAAAAAGAAGAGAAUAUGCGAAUUCAAUUCCCACAUUUAUUCCCUUCACCAGGUAUGUAAAAUUUCGAGGACGAAAUUUCUUUUAGGAGGAGAGAAUUGUUAGGCCCAGCCCGUUUUAAAAGAAAAAAAAAGUGAGGCCCAUAAAUAUAUUUUAUAUAAAAAGAAAAUUAUUUAAAAAAAAAAAGAAAAAAAAGAAAGUGAGCAUUAAAGCUCUGGUUUCGGGAAUGUCCCGAAACAUUCCCGAAACCACAUGCCAUCUUCUUCCUCCAGAAAACAGAGCCUCUGUGCUUGUUUUUUAAAAAAAAUCCUUCUCUUUAAUCCAAAUCUCCUUCUCAACCCAACCACCCAUUAAACUUCUAAGAUCCUUCAGCUAGAUCCUGAUUAAACUUACUUCCUGUUCAGAAAUUCAAUAUUUUCUUCUUGAGGCUCCAAAAUUGGGUAGGAGAGGAUCUAGCGUCCAGGGUAGAUAAUAGGGGUCCUCCUGCGACCUAGGUCUUUUGUUCCAAGUAUUCUAUUCCUUUUUGGUGAUCCACUCAGCAGUCCUCAUCUCUUAGUUUAUCCUUCUUUCCACAUCAUCCACUCAGAGUCUAGAGGAGGUCGGAUCAAUCCUAGGUCUUUUGUUAUUUCUUUUUGUAAUUUUGUUAGAUCAUGUAUAGAUUGUACAGUUCAAUGAAGAAUGUAUUGUGUUGUUGUAAAUAUAUUAUGGAUUGACUAGUCCA